AGUGAACGCUGGCGGUAGGCCUAACACAUGCAAGUCGAACGGCAGCACAGUAAGAGCCUGCUCUUACGGGUGGCGAGUGGCGGACGGGUGAGGAAUACAUCGGAAUCUACUUUUUCGUGGGGGAUAACGUAGGGAAACUUACGCUAAUACCGCAUACGACCUACGGGUGAAAGCAGGGGAUCUUCGGACCUUGCGCGAUUGAAUGAGCCGAUGUCGGAUUAGCUAGUUGGCGGGGUAAAGGUCCACCAAGGCGACGAUCCGUAGCUGGUCUGAGAGGAUGAUCAGCCACACUGGAACUGAGACACGGUCCAGACUCCUACGGGAGGCAGCAGUGGGGAAUAUUGGACAAUGGGCGCAAGCCUGAUCCAGCCAUACCGCGUGGGUGAAGAAGGCCUUCGGGUUGUAAAGCCCUUUUGUUGGGAAAGAAAAGCAGCAGGUUAAUACCCCGCUGUUCUGACGGUACCCAAAGAAUAAGCACCGGCUAACUUCGUG
rnacentral:rRNA from 1 species